rnacentral:rRNA from 1 species
AACGAACGCUGGCGGCAUGCCUAACACAUGCAAGUCGAACGAACCCUUCGGGGUUAGUGGCGCACGGGCGCGUAACGCGUGGGAAUCUGCCCUUUGCUACGGAAUAACUCAGAGAACUUUGUGCUAAUACCGUAUAAUGUCGAAAGACCAAAGAUUUAUCGGCAAAGGAUGAGCCAGCGUAGGAUUAGCUAGUUGGUGAGGUAAAGGCUCCACAAGGCGACGAUCCUUAGCUGGUCUGAGAGGAUGAUCAGCCACACUGGGACUGAGACACGGCCCAGACUCCUACGGGAGGCAGCAGUGGGGAAUAUUGGACAAUGGGCGAAAGCCUGAUCCAGCAAUGCCGCGUGAGUGAUGAAGGCCUUAGGGUUGUAAAGCUCUUUUACCAGGGAUGAUAAUGACAGUACCUGGAGAAUAAGCUCCGGCUAACUCCGUGCCAGCCGCCGCGGUAACAC